AAUGAAUGCUCCUUGCUUUAAAAAUAUGAAAAUUUUGAAAGUUGUAGUGCUUAUAUUACUUGAAUCAACUUCACAAGGAUUUUGAUUAAUGGGUAUCUCUUCCUUCAAGUGGUUGUUGUUUUUGCUCAUUUUGCUUGCUUAUCUCUAUGCCAUGAAGUUGGGUUUGGUGGAUGGAGACGAGAAGUCAACGGUAUUUGGAGAGAGGACAGGAGAUAGGCCGCCAGCACCUCAUGGGAAUCAAGGCAAGCACUAUUUUCCACCAAAUGCUUCAGGGAAAUGUUGAAACCUUUUAAGUGUUAUUUAGAUAUUAGUCCCUGAUAUCUUCGGUAGCUUCGUAUUAGUCAUUCAAAUCCUUUUGCCCAACGCGUCCCCCAAAUUCCAUGGGGUCUUGCGAUUUGGUCCCACAAUCAAAGAACCCCUCGGCUAAAAGCUAAUGCUCUUCUGAACAGAAGUAGUUCUGGGGAGAACCUAAACCGAGGGGUAUUUUGGUCAUUGAGGCACCUAGUCGCUAGGCCCCUCGGGAUUUGAGGGACUCGCGAGCGAUUUCAAAUAUUUGAGAGACUAGUAUGGAAAUUAGUGAAGAUUUGAGGGACUAAUGUCUAAAUGAUCCAAAACCUUAAUUGUGAAAGCUACGAGGAUUUGGGUAAAGGCCCGUUAUGUUGAAUAUUGUGUUGUUUCCUUAUUGUUUGAGAAAAUAUAUUUAAUGUAUAUACAUGGAGUUUAGUACCAUUGUACCAAUACCCAUUACAGAAACACAAGCAAUGUACAGUUUUCUUCUUCCGAAA